rnacentral:rRNA from 1 species
AGACGAGGAGCUUGCUCCUCUGACGUUAGCGGCGGACGGGUGAGUAACACGUGGAUAACCUACCUAUAAGACUGGGAUAACUUCGGGAAACCGGAGCUAAUACCGGAUAAUAUAUUUGAACCGCAUGGUUCAAUAGUGAAAGACGGUUUUGCUGUCACUUAUAGAUGGAUCCGCGCCGCAUUAGCUAGUUGGUAAGGUAACGGUUACCAAGGCAACGAUGCGUAGCCGACCUGAGAGGGUGAUCGGCACACUGGAACUGAGACACGGUCCAGACUCCUACGGGAGGCAGCAGUAGGGAAUCUUCCGCAAAUGGGCGAAAAGCCUGACGGAGCAACGCCGCGUGAGUGAUGAAGGUCUUCCGGAUCCGUAAAAACUCUGGUAUCAGGGGACAAGAACACAAUGUGGUAAAGUAACUAUGCACGUUCUUGACGGUUACCUAAUCAGAAACCACCGGCUUAAACUACGUGCCAGCACCGCGGUAAUACGUAGGUGGCAAGCGUUAUCCGGAAUUAUUGGGCGUAAAGCGCGCGUAGCGGUUUUUUAAGUCUGAUGUGAAAGCCCACGGCUCAACCGUGGAGGGUCAUUGGAAACUGGAAAACUUGAGUGCAGAAGAGGAAAGUGGAAUUCCAUGUGUACGGUGAAAUGCGCAGAGAUAUGGAGGAACACCAGUGGCGAAGGCGACUUUCUGGUCUGUAACUGACGCUGAUGUGCGAAAGCGUGGGGAUCAAACAGGAUUAGAUACCCUGGUAGUCCACGCCGUAAACGAUGAGUGCUAAGUGUUAGGGGGUUUCCGCCCCUUAGUGCUGCAGCUAACGCAUUAAGCACUCCGCCUGGGGAGUACGACCGCAAGGUUG